GACGUAGGGGGCAAGCGUUGUCCGGAUUCAUUGGGCGUAAAGCGCUUUAAGGCGGUUCGGUAAGUCGGGUGUGAAACCUCCAGGCUCAACCUGGAGACGCCACUCGAUACUGCUGUGACUAGAGUUCGGUAGGGGAUCACGGAAUUCCUGGUGUAGCGGUGAAAUGCGCAGAUAUCAGGAGGAACACCGGUGGCGAAGGCGGUGAUCUGGGCCGACACUGACGCUGUAGAGCGAAAGCGUGGGGAGCGAACAGG
rnacentral:rRNA from 1 species